rnacentral:piRNA from 2 species
UGGGCUGCUUAUGGGACAUUGUCUAUCCCC